UUAUCCGGAAUUAUUGGGCGUAAAGCGUGCGUAGGCGGUUUGUUAAGUCAGAGGUGAAAGGCUACGGCUCAACCGUAGUAAGCCUUUGAAACUGAAAGACUUGAGUAUUGGAGAGGCAAGUGGAAUUCCUAGUGUAGCGGUGAAAUGCGUAGAUAUUAGGAGGAACACCAGUGGCGAAGGCGGCUUUCUGGGCCACGACUGACGCUGAGGCGCGAAAGCUA
rnacentral:rRNA from 1 species